UUAGUGGAGACACUUACCCGUCAGUUUGGCUGGAUCGGAGACAGGUGCUGCAUGGCUGUCGUCAGCUCGUGUCGUGAGAUGUUGGGUUAAAUCCCGCAACGAGCGCAACCCUCGCUCUUAGUUGCCAUCAUUCAGUUGGGCACUCUAAGGGGACUGCCGGUGAUAAGCUGGAGGAAGGUGGGGAUGACGUCAAGUCCUCAUGGCCCUUACGGGCUGGGCUACACACGUGCUACAAUGGUGGUGACAGUGGGCAGCGAGACCGCGAGGUUGAGCUAAUCUCCAAAAACCAUCUCAGUUCGGAUUGCACUCUGCAACUCGGGUGCAUGAAGUUGGAAUCGCUAGUAAUCGUGGAUCAGCAUGCCACGGUGAAUACGUUCCCGGGCCUUGUACACACCGCCCGUCACACCAUGGGAGUUGGCUUUACCCGAAGGUGCUGUGUUAACCGCAAGGAGGCA
rnacentral:rRNA from 2 species